ACAUUUUGUCAGUAUAUAAUUGUUUGUUUAUCACACAACACAAAUAACUACAGUUUGAAUGUUCAACUUCAGAUGUUUAGUGCUUAUUGCUUGUCCAUUUCUGUCCCCAGAACAGUCCACAGGAGACUGAUCCUGUCCCGCCUGCCUCUCCUGCCAGCAGCAUUCAUGAGAACAGUCCACAGGAGACUGAUCCUGUCCCGCCUGCCUCUCCUGCCAGCAGCAUUCAUGAGGUAAAUAAUUUAAAAAUUCAAUAUUUCUCUGUAACAUUUUGUAUACACAUCCUAAACACAUCCAUCCAUCCAUUCAAAAUUAGCAUCUCAGACUUAAAAUCCUUGGGUGAUCUGCUUUAUGUGAACUAUAUGUGUAUGCUUACAUUUGAUAGAUAUUGGCGAACAUAACCCAAUUAUGAUUCAGAAAACAUGUUUCGAAGGCUUUUAAAGUCAAACUGUCAGUUAGAGCAGUCUUUAUCUUUAGGGAAUGUACCCUGAAUGUGUACAUAAGUUAUAGCACAACGCAUUAAUG
rnacentral:lncRNA from 1 species